rnacentral:rRNA from 1 species
AUGGCGUGGCCUCAGCACACCCGCCCAUGGCGCGGAUGGCCACACGUCGAGCAUCCGCCGGCAAGCCGAGAGGAUAAGGGACCACCCUCGUCCCUGGAUCGAACCCUAGCCCUAUCUUUUCCUUCCUCGCCCCUCUCUCGCUCGAUCCCAUCUCCACCCGAGCGUCACCGUCGUCAUGCCGCCUCCAUAGCCGCGGCCACCGUCGUCCCCUCGCCCACUGAGCGCGUCCUUCCGCUCCAUCGUCGACCACUGCCUCAACCACAACCACCAGAUGUACCAGGGAGCCCCUACAUCGACCGGAUCGAGGUCAUCUUCAACCUCCGCACCGCCGCUCACCGUCUUCGAUUCGGCCUCACCGGAGCCUCCUCGAGCCCGCUUUGCUCACCUACAGGAUCGAUACCCCAAGACUGCCGGCGACCCCCAGUUCGACUACUGUGUUGA